CUUGUUUUUUCCUUAUUAGAGAUCCUUUUCAUGAUGUAAAGAGCAAAGAAGAGACAAGUAAACCCCUUUAUGAUUCACUCCUUUCAGAACCUCCUGAUUUAAGUAUUUGGUUUUCAAGCUAUGUCUAUGAAUCACCGAUGCUGGAUGGUUUUUGUGAAGAAAGGGUCUAAGAAGAAGCGUUUUGCUGCUGUAAUUCUGCGUAUUUGAGAGCUUGGAUUUGGGAUGAUGAUGGAUUCUGGAGAACAUAAGCUUGAAGAAGUAGUUGUCCCGUUUAAAGGGAAGAGCUGUAAGAAGAUACGUAAAACUCUUAUGUUUAUUUUGUUACAACAUAUCCCAGAGAUUUGUGGAGCACGCCUCUGCUAGAGCUUCUCUAUAAGCUUGAAGAAGCAGUCUGGUCUUCUUACUUCUUUUGCUUACCCUUUGUAGGGAGGCUUGGGCGAGGUUGUUCUAUGUUUCUGCCGCUUUUAUAUGUUGUAGAACAAGUGAUGUUAUCGAGCCUAUGAUAAUGCCCCGGUGGUAUGUUAAUGGCAACAUGAUUGGGAAGGAAGCUCUUGGUGUUGCCACCACUGAUGAAAAAAAGAAGCCCGAGUUUAUACCAAAGCAAUACACAGCAAAAUGGUGAAGGUCUUGUCUUGUUCCUUAUGGAUUUUAAACUUUGUGUUAUGUACUAUGUAUUAUGUUUGAUUGUGAAAUGGUGAAUUAGGGAUUUAAUAUUAAUACAGGUUCCGGAUCAA